UCAACAAACUCUCCGUCAAAUUUUAGUUUUUCUUUUUUUUCUUCCUCCUCUCGGUUUCUUCUCGAUUUCUUCUCUCUGAACUUCUGGUGAUUUUGGUUAGAGUUUGAGAAUAUGAUUUCGAGUUCGAGAACGCAACGAAAGGGUGGUUAUGAUAUGGGUUAAUUGAAGAUCUGGUGACUGUUAAUUGAAGUUGAGAUGGGUUAGAGUUCGAUCUGUGAUUGAGAGAGGAGAUGAUGAAAGAAAAGAAAUUGAAGAUGGAAUCGACCAUGGAAGAAUGGGUUAUCGCUGGAUUCGUUGCAAAUGGAUUUGAUGGUUGAUUUAUGAAGAUUUGAAGCGGGUAUUGCAGCGACAGUGGAUAAGAGCAAUGGAGCACUGGUGAUGGCUAAAGGAUCUGAUGGGUGAUUAUCGAUUAAUGCUGCAGAGAGAAUAAUUACAGGGGCAUGGUGGUUGUACUGAGAUUUGUAGGAGCCGAAAUCUGAAGAUGGUGGUGAUUCAAUGUUUGAAAUGGUGGAGAUAGUGAAUGUGUUGCUACUGCAACUGAUUGCAGUAGUGCUGCUGGGGUAACUAUUUUGUCAACGUGGUCAGCUUCACCAAAUUUCUUGGUUAUUUUGGGGGCUUUUUCUCUCUGAAUCAUACUUGGGAAGAUUCAGAGUUAUUUCUUUGGGUUCCAUUGCAAGCUUUGGGAUAGUCUAGUUAUGGUUAACGGCGAUGUUUCCACAGAUGAAACCAAAACCUUGUGAUUUGUCAUUAAAUGUAUCUGGCGCAAAAAGCUGUAGCAAACACCAUCGGCUCAAUCAAAUUUUCAAAGAAGAAUUUUACUAAUGAUGCGCUGGUAAGAGUAUUGCCUUUUAUCAUUGUCGAAUAUUUGACAUAGCACUUCUGGUGCAUGUUCUAAUUUUUCUUUUCGGCUUGUCAUAAUUUGUUGAGCUCCUAUUCGUCGAAAUAUCAGUGCUUUUCAAAGAGUUCUAUUUUGUCAUCUGGACAUCUUUCACUUGCUUCAAAUAUGUAGCAGCACCAGCUUAAGUGUGGGGUAUCAAGUAAUGUGGACCAGCAUGACAUUGCUAUCGUUGGAGGAGGCAUGGUUGGAAUUGCUCUUGGUUGUGCUCUGUGUAAGUUCCAUUACUGACGAACAUUAAGUUAACUUCUGUUUGGAAUCCUUAAUAUGUCAGACUUAUGCAACAAUUUCGCCAACUUGGCUGCAAUGGUCACUGAUUGAAACUAAAGUUUUUUGAGCACAGAUCAGAGUGAAAGGGAGAUGUCACUGCAGAUUAGCUAACUUUGGUUUCUCUCAGUUUUAUGUGAUGUAUGAGAGAGCAAAUCAGUUUUGUUUUGAUCUUUUAUCAUGUAAGCCUGUAAGGUUCUAUUCCUUGGGGGAAUUCAAAAAAUUCAAUGCAGAAAUUAUAAGAACUAAUCUAAGUUGUUAUUACUCUCUUGCUCCCUGUGUAACUUGUUUUUGGUUUGAUUGGCUAAACCAAAUAAGGUGAAAGUGUAAGAUAUUACAUGAA